UAUCUUUGCACCUAGUAGGCUUUCAUUUCGAUAUAGCCUUUCAUUUUGUUUUAUAUAGGUUAGGCUUCUUUUUCACCAUUAGCUAUCUUCUGAGCAUUGAUAGUUUAAUAGCACUUGGGAAUUCAGCGCAAAUAAAUUAUCUACUCUAUUUAUUUCUAUUGAGCAAUAUAUCUUUGCCGAGUAAUAUAGUUGCCCGUUUCUCUGUUUCGAUUUUAUCUGAUAAGAACUCAUAAGUUGCCUAUGUUUAAAGCUACUUCAUUUGAUUGGUGCUUUGGUUUGUGUGGUUUACCCAGAAGGAAUCUACAUUGUAAGAAGCUGGAUUCUGGUGGAAAUUGGACAACUUUGUGGGGAUUUCAAGGUCUUUCUGAGAGGUGAAUGUUUGGAAGAUUUUAUAAAUUUGGAUCAUUCAAGAAAGAAGUUGGUUUCAUCCUGUUUUGAGAUUUGUUGUAGCUUAGAUCAAAGUCUCAUUACAACGUCGUGAUCUGCUCUUCUUGGUGCCUUUGAUCUAGGGGUUCGGACUUAUUGCAUUUGAAUCAAGGCUUUGGGUUAAUAAAAUGGUGAAAGAGAUUGAUCGAAGCGAACAACAAAUUCUAGGAGGCGUUUUG